rnacentral:tRNA from 2 species
GCACCCGUAGCUCAGCUGGAUAGAGCACCAGACUACGAAUCUGGGGGCCGGAGGUUCGAAUCCUUCCGGGUGCACCA